UACGAAGGGGGCUAGCGUUGUUCGGAAUUACUGGGCGUAAAGGGCGCGUAGGCGGCGUGUCAAGUCAGGCGUGAAAGCCCCGGGCUCAACCUGGGAACCGCGCUUGAGACUGGCAUGCUCGAGUUCGGGAGAGAAUGGUGGAAUUCCCAGUGUAGAGGUGAAAUUCGUAGAUAUUGGGAAGAACACCGAUGGCGAAGGCAGCCAUCUGGACCGACACUGACGCUGAGGCGCGAAAGCGUGGGGAGCAAACAGG
rnacentral:rRNA from 1 species